UAGAAUUCCGCGUGUAGCAGUGAAAUGCGUAUAGAUGUGGAAGAAUACCGAUGGCGAAGGCAGCCUCCUGGGAUAACACUGACGUUCAUGCUCGAAAGCGUGGGUAGCAAACAGGAUUAGAUACCCUGGUAGUCCACGCCCUAAACGAUGACAAUUAGCUGUUGGGACACUAGAUGUCUUAGUAGCGAAGCUAACGCGUGAAAUUGUCCGCCUGGGGAGUACGGUCGCAAGAUUAAAACUCAAAGGAAUUGACGGGGACCCGCACAAGCGGUGGAUGAUGUGGAUUAAUUCGAUGCAACGCGAAGAACCUUACCUGGUCUUGACAUGUACGGAAUCUCUUAGAGAUAGGAGAGUGCCUUCGGGAACCGUAACACAGGUGCUGCAUGGCUGUCGUCAGCUCGUGUCGUGAGAUGUUGGGUUAAGUCCCGCAACGAGCGCAACCCUUGUCAUUAGUUGCCAUCAUUAAGUUGGGCACUCUAAUGAGACUGCCGGUGAUAUGCCGGAGGAAGGUGGGGAUGACGUCAAGUCCUCAUGGCCCUUAUGACCAGGGCUUCACACGUCAUACAAUGGUCGGUACAGAGGGUAGCGAAGCCGCGAGGUGAAGCCAAUCUCAGAAAGCCGAUCGUAGUCCGGAUUGCACUCUGCAACUCGAGUGCAUGAAGUCGGAAUCGCUAGUAAUCGCAGGUCAGCAUAC
rnacentral:rRNA from 2 species